CAUAUCAAUAAGCGGAGGAAAAGAAACCAACAGGGAUUGCCCCAGUAACGGCGAGUGAAGCGGCAACAGCUCAAAUUUGAAAUCUGGUCCCCCCGCGGGGCCCGAGUUGUAAUUUGAAGAGGAUGCUUCUGGCAAGGUGCCGUCCGAGUUCCCUGGAACGGGACGCCGCAGAGGGUGAGAGCCCCGUACGGUCGGACGCCGAGCCUCUGUGAAGCUCCUUCGACGAGUCGAGUAGUUUGGGAAUGCUGCUCAAAAUGGGAGGUAAACCCCUUCUAAAGCUAAAUACCGGCCAGAGACCGAUAGCGCACAAGUAGAGUGAUCGAAAGAUGAAAAGCACUUUGAAAAGAGAGUUAAAAAGCACGUGAAAUUGUUGAAAGGGAAGCGCUUGCGACCAGACUCGCGCCCGUCGGAUCAGCCGUCGCUCGUCGGCGGCGCACUCCGGCGGGCUCGGGCCAGCAUCAGUUCGCCUCGGGGGGAGAAAGGCGGCGGGAAUGUGGCUCUACGGAGUGUUAUAGCCCGCCGCGUAAUACCCCCGGGCGGACUGAGGACCGCGCGUAUGCAAGGAUGCUGGCGUAAUGGUCGUCAGCGA
rnacentral:rRNA from 1 species